CGAAAGCCUGACGGAGCAAUACCGCGUGAGGGAGGAAGGCUCUUGGGUUGUAAACCUCUUUUCUCAGGGAAUAAAAAAAUGAAGGUACCUGAGGAAUAAGCAUCGGCUAACUCCGUGCCAGCAGCCGCGGUAAUACGGAGGAUGCAAGCGUUAUCCGGAAUGAUUGGGCGUAAAGCGUCCGCAGGUGGUUAUACAAGUCUGCUGUCAAAGCGCAAGGCUCAACCUUGUAAAGGCAGUGGAAACUGUGUGACUAGAGAGUGAUAGGGGCAGAGGGAAUUCCCAGUGUAGCGGUGAAAUGCGUAGAGAUUGGGAAGAACACCGGUGGCGAAAGCGCUCUGCUGGGUCAUAUCUGACACUGAGGGACGAAAGCUAGGGGAGCG
rnacentral:rRNA from 1 species